CCCGCAGAGGGCAGCAGAGGCUCACGCCGGGCCGCCCGCGUGCCCACGGCGCUCUGGUGUGCCUUGACUCGCUUCCAGCCCCAGUGGUGGACGCCUAGGGUCCCAGAGCACCCGGGCGGGGCUCCUCGGGCAGAGCUCCUCGGGCAGAGCCGGGCCUUGCGGGGAGAGGGGAUGCCCGGAUCACCUGAGGACCCACAGCCUCCUUCCUCCAGUUAGCCACUUUGGAAACUCAGGUGGGACUGGACGCGUGCAGCACCCCAGGCUGAGAAGUCGGUGGUGUCACCAUCAGGGGGAGUCGUGUUCUGCUUUGUGCAUCGGCCCGCGCAGGAAUGUGACAAGAGUACGGAGGGCAGCGGGGAGAGAUGGGCCAAGGAACAUCUUAGAGACCUUGUUCAGAUUCAGGAGGGAAGGAGACAAUCCUGACGCCAACGAGAUGCAUGGCUGUGACCAUUCAUGCAGCAGUCAACAAGAGCGAGGUGAGGUGUGGACAGGCGGGCAGGCCGCGGGGCUCCCGGGGAGCAGCCGUCUGCCCUUGGGCGCAUGAAGGACCGGGACGGGUGCCUGCGUGAUGCGUGGUGGCUGGAACAGAUGUGCCUGCGGGAGUACACACUGUCUCGGGCAGGUGUGCGGGGGCAGCCAGCCUCCCAUGAACGCAGACCUUCUUCAUCUCACACUUUUUGAUUCAGCAAACAUCGGGGAUUUGGGAGGGCUUCCCAGGAGGCAAGCACUCGGGUUGGAGGAGCUUUUGCCUACAGCCUACAGGACGUCUCCCGGCAGCCCUGUUCACUCGCAGGCCGCGGGAUCCAUGGAACAUGGUGCUGCGUGGCCAGCACUGCUCACUGUUCCUGCUGCAGUCACUAGGUAUUGGCAGGACUCAAGCCUGCCCAACUUUUUGUAAUAAGAGCAAGGACGCAUAGGAUUCCUUCCGCUUGCCUCUCAACACCUCGCACCUACGCAGAUGGAAACACACCUUCUGAUCUGUCCGUGGCAGGGAAUGGAAUUCGUGACUCCACACAGAGAAGCAAUCUUGGAGCUGCUUAGACAGGCUGUUGACCUCCUCAUUGGCCCUCCCGUUUCCAGAGUGAGCCCGUGCAGAUGGCCACUGACACGACAGCUACACCUGGUCACCGAGCACAGAAAUGCACCUCAUGCAGAAUUUUGCAGGAUUUAAGAUAUUUCAUAGCAACAAUGAUUCCGCCUGGGGUACGUGAGAGGAAAUGGCUAGUUCUACAGGGAGCUUUAUGGAUGCCCCUGCACUGAACUCCCGCAGCCUGAGCGCAGCAGACCCUCUGCGGUGGUGGGACCUGGC